CCAAUAGCGUAUAUUAAAGUUGCUGCAGUUAAAAAGCUCGUAGUUGAAUUUCGGGACCAAUAUGUCGGUCGUGCCUCGGUACGUACUGGCAUCGUUGGUUUCUCCCUUCUGACGAACCAUGAUGUCAUUUAUUUGGUGUCGUGGGGAAUCAGGACUGUUACUUUGAAAAAAUUAGAGUGUUUAAAGCAGGCUCACGCUUGAAUACAUUAGCAUGGAAUAAUGAAAUAGGACGUUUGAUUCUAUUUUGUUGGUUUCUAGGAUCGACGUAAUGAUUAAUAGGGAUAGUUGGGGGCAUUAGUAUUCAAUUGUCAGAGGUGAAAUUCUUGGAUUUAUUGAAGACUAACUACUGCGAAAGCAUUUGCCAAGGAUGUUUUCAUUAAUCAAGAACGAAAGUUAGGGGAUCGAAGACGAUCAGAUACCGUCGUAGUCUUAACCAUAAACUAUGCCGACUAGGGAUCGGAUGAUGUUAAUUUUUUAAUGACUCAUUCGGCGCCUUAUG
rnacentral:rRNA from 1 species